rnacentral:snRNA from 1 species
AGAUGUGAGGGUGAUCUGGCUGCAACAUCUGUCACCCCAUUGAUCGCCAGGGUUGAUUCUGCUGAUCUGGAUGGCGAGGUGGGUGUUCCCUUCCUCCCUCAUCACUCCAUGUGUGUUUGUCCCUCCGGAAGCUGUGCGCUCCUUCAAAGAGGACAACCACCCCUGACAGAGGAGGACCAUUUCCUCCAUCAAGGGCAUACGAAUAGCCGUGCUCCCCUGCUAGAACGUCCAAACAAGCUCUCAAAAAUUACAGUACUGGGCCAGGGAUUUAGUUCAGUGGCACUGCACCUGCAAUCUCCUGUAC